rnacentral:tRNA from 4 species
AGGGGUAUAGCUCAGUUGGUAGAGCGACGGUCUCCAAAACCGUAGGUCGAGGGUUCAAAUCCUUCUGCCCCUGCCA